AGUUCGGAUUGGAGGCUGAAAUUCGCCUUUAUGAAGCCGGAAUUGCUAGUAAUGGCAGGUCAGCAUACUGCCGUGAAUACGUUCCCGGGCCUUGUACACACCGCCCGUCACACCAUGAGAGUUGGGAAUACCCGAAGCCUGUGAGCUAACUUUUAGAGGCAGCAGUCGAAGGUAGAAUCAAUGAUUGGGGUGAAGUCGUAACAAGGUACC
rnacentral:rRNA from 1 species